CACUCCUACGGGAGGCAGCAGUGGGGAAUUUUGGACAAUGGGCGAAAGCCUGAUCCAGCAAUGCCGCGUGAGUGAAGAAGGCCUUCGGGUUGUAAAGCUCUUUUGUCAGGGAAGAAACGGUGAAAGCUAAUAUCUUUUCUAAUGACGGUACCUGAAGAAUAAGCACCGGCUAACUACGUGCCAGCAGCCGCGGUAAUACGUAGGGUGCAAGCGUUAAUCGGAAUUACUGGGCGUAAAGCGUGCGCAGGCGGUUUUGCAAGUCUGAUGUGAAAUCCCCGGGCUCAACCUGGGAAUUGCAUUGGGGACUGCAAGGCUAGAAUCUGGCAGAGUGGGGUAGAAUUCCACGUGUAGCAGUGAAAUGCGUAGAUAUGUGGAGGAACACCGAUGGCGAAGGCAGCCCCCUGGGUCAAGAUUGACGCUCAUGCACGAAAGCGUGGGGAGCAAACAGGAUUAGAAACCCUAGUAGUCCCAUG
rnacentral:rRNA from 1 species